UGUGUAUGUGGCAAUCGCGAUCUACACAGGCUGCGCCUACUCGUAGGUAUACUCGUUUCUUUUUUCUCUCUUUCUAUCGCCAUCUCGCCCCAAGUCUCACGCGGUCCUGGCUCCUGGAUCCGCGAGCGCGAUGUAACUAUAGGUAUAUGUAUAUCGAGCCAGCAUCGGCAGACUUUUACAUAGCCCGGGUACCUUUUGCUUUUGGAUUCGGCUGCUUUUUUUUCUCUUCUUCAUUUUUCCACAUUCUCUCCACGCCGCCGCGCCGCGUACGCAAAAACACGCCGAUCCCGCCGCGAUGUACUGUCGACGUGACAAGGGGUUCGCGCCAUGCUGCCUGCUUCGCCUGCCUGCCUUUUUUCGCUCCAAUUUUUUCCCAUUUUUCACUCGAUUCUGUGGCUCUUUUUCCAUCGCGUAUGUCGAUUUCGUCCGUCUCCGUCACUCUUCUGUUAUUUCCACACGUUUAUACAGCGUGCCUGCAUUUGCCACUUGCCAAUGCCAGCCCCAGUAGUACGUGGUGUCGAGUGUAAUUUCAUAGCUGAUGAGAAGUUAUGGCUCGUGUACGUUUCAAAAUUCAGCGAAGUCGUUUACGUCGUCGGGAUGCGGAUUUAUACGCGAAGGCGAUCGAUGCAUCGAUUAUGGUACUCCGCUCCUUCGAUCGGUAAUCUUCGGCUGAGAAGUUCGGAUCAAUGGGUCAUUAAAGAAAUAGCUCAGAUGUCUCAGGCAUGAUUCCAUCAAUCUCUGGCAAGUUCAUCUUCUGUAUACUGGAACUAAUAAAAAGAUUAUUUCAAGAACUGAUCAGUUGAUUAAUCUUGACAUGUUUUCUCGGACUGGUGCUUCAUCACGAAUGGUUCUCCAUCGUCAUCAGAUAUCACCGAAACGCAGAUGAACUCGUCGAGUAAUUCGAAUUCUUGUUCGCAAUACACGAAGGAAGAUCCGCAUCACGAGGUCUCCGAUCCAGUUCCGAAACUGUAAAUAGUUGUUCUCCAUCGUAAAGAAAUUCAAGACGAUCAGUCGCAGAAACAAUCAAACGGGAUUCGUUCAUCCAACAAAACCUAGACGACAAUGGAUGAUUUCAAUUCAAUCAAAAAUACAGACCGGUAGUAAAAUCACGAUCAUCGAUACAAGAUUUACUUCGAAGUUCGAAUAAGGAAAUCAAAAUGAAAAAUAUUCUCAAUUUAUUCAAACAAUUUAUUAUUACAUUACAAACGAAUCAAUUAAUUUAAAAAAAAAAAUCUCAAAGUAUAAAAUGAACACAUCAAUGAUGUUUUUUUCUUCUACGCCAGUAUAAUUGUAAACUAAAAUAAUCUAAAGUUUAGCUUUCGUUAAAGCAAACCGUGAUGUAUUUUCUUUCGUUUCGAAUUUUCUAUGCAGUAACAUUCCUACAAGAAAAAAAAAAGUAGAAAGAAAUCAACACAAAAUGUAAAAGAAUUGAAAAAAAAAACACGAGUAAAUAGUUUCAACUUUGUACUCACUAAGGAACUGAACAA